CCUACGGGUGGCAGCAGUGAGGAAUAUUGGUCAAUGGGCGAGAGCCUGAACCAGCCAAGUCGCGUGAGGGAGUACUGCCCUAUGGGUUGUAAACCUCUUUUGUCGGGGAGCAAAAGCCGGACGUGUCCGGCUGUGAGAGUACCCGAAGAAAAAGCAUCGGCUAACUCCGUGCCAGCAGCCGCGGUAAUACGUGGGGAGCGAGCGUUGUCCGGAAUUACUGGGUGAAAAGGGAGCGUAGGCGUGGAUGCAAGUUGGAGGUCAAAACUACCGGCUAAACUGGUAGUCGCACUCAAAACUGCAGCUCUUGAGUGAAGUAGAGGCAGGCGGAAUUCCUAGUGUAGCGGUGAAAUGCGUAGAUAUUAGGAGGAACACCAGUGGCGAAGGCGGCCUGCUGGGCUUUUACUGACGCUGAGGCUCGAAAGUGUGGGGAGCAAACAGGAUUAGAUACCCGUGUAGUC
rnacentral:rRNA from 1 species